GACGAACGCUGGCGGCGUGCCUAAUACAUGCAAGUCGAGCGCAGGAAACCGUCUGAACCCUUCGGGGGGACGACGGUGGAAUGAGCGGCGGACGGGUGAGUAACACGUAAAGAACCUGCCCACGGGUCUGGGAUAACCACGAGAAAUCGGGGCUAAUACCGGACGGGUCAUCGGACCGCAUGGUCCGAGGAUGAAAGGCGCUCCGGCGUCGCCCGUGGAUGGCUUUGCGGUGCAUUAGCUAGUUGGUGGGGUAACGGCCCACCAAGGCGACGAUGCAUAGCCGAGCUGGGAGGGUGAUCGGCCACACUGGGACUGAGACACGGCCCAGACUCCUACGGGAGGCAGCAGUAGGGAAUCUUCCACAAUGGACGAAAGUCUGAUGGAGCAACGCCGCGUGAACGAUGUAGGCCCUCGGGUCGUAAAGUUCUGUUGUAAGGGAAGAACAAGUGCCGCAGGCAAUGGCGGCACCUUGACGGUACCUUGCGAGAAAGCCACGGCUAACUACGUGCCAGCCGCCGCGGUAAGAC
rnacentral:rRNA from 1 species